UUGGUUGAGCUAGUCGUCCCACGGAUCGCAAAUCCAGACCAUCUCCUCUUCUGUGAUCCAACGGCAAGCAAUCAACUCCAUCCUUCCCGACUCCUCUGUAGAUCUCGAUCGGCUUCUUCCAUCUCCUUUGUCAGCCCCGACUCCCCUGGUCUCACUGUUUCCAGAUCCCCAACCCUCCCCAUCCAUGGCCGCCGCCACCUCCCCAUCCAUGGCCAUCUUCUAGGGGAAGAUCCCGCAACCGCUGCGACGAUAGCCUCGUUCCCGAAGGCGGGGACGACCCUGAAGGCGAACCUAGUGCACGCGACGCCGGUGCCGAUACUGCGGGUCGGGCAGCGGUCAGAUCCACCACGGCAACAACCGGCGUCCUCUCCCUCUCUAUCCAUCUUUCUCCCAUGACUGAGAAGAGGGCUUCGUCAAGGAUUCCAUUAUGGAUGUCAACGUGGGAGGCUGCUUCCUCCCCUUCCAGAUCGACCAUCCAUGGAUGGAGGCUAUGAGAGCUGAGUGAGCACACACAUGGUUGCGCUUCAAGCUGCAGCUCAAUAGAUGCAGGGACGCCGCAAUGGAGCAAGUAAGGCCUCCCUUCUCCCACUGUUUCUUCAGAUCUGCCACGGCCAGCCAUAUCUGGCGCCCCUGCACCACCGUGGUGGUUUUGAAGGGGGUUAUUUAGAAUAGCCACAAAGCAGAAAGAAGAAACAUUCCACUUCAGUAAAAGCGUCAUGAUCCUGAUACUCUUAUCAUUUUGUUAAUGACAUACGUGUCAUGUCAAUGCUUGCCGGACGCUAGUCCUACUGGGUAGUAUAGCUAAUUCUUUGCGCUUCAGAACAUUCAAGAGCUCUUUAGUCCUACCAAAAAAGUUUUUAUGUUUACCUUACACAAAAUAUUCAUAUUUCUCACCUUUUAACUCAUCUAGCUGACCUGUCACUGCCAAAAAUUGCUACUGGAUAGGGGCUGUUUGGUUAGUGCUCCCAUUCUUGGUGGGCUAAACAUAUUUGUUUGUUUGUUUGAUUUGGAGCAGCAGAUGAUCUCCAUCGACGGAUGGGACCCCAUGCCUAAGUUGUUGAUUGCCUCAUUUUAUCCACCUUCACCAUAUAUUCAUUUGAUUGCCUGCUACAUCUUCACUUAAAUACUCAGAAUGUUACCGUCCAGAUUUUGGUAAAUUGGACUGACUAGAUAUCUUUUCUUGUUAUUUUUUGGUGAGAAAUAAACAUUGCAAUUUAUUCUUAUAUUUUCCUUCAACUUGGCACACAGGUUACAUUGACUAUAUUUUUUUCCAUCCGUACAAUUGUGAUCUGAUCUUGCAUUUCAUUUUUUGGUUUCUAAAGAGGUGGAAGAAAUCUCUUGAGGCCAAACCACAGGGAGGAUGGCGGCCAACAAUCGGUACAUGUUCUCAAGGUCCCAUGGAACUGGGUACAGGUGCGGCUGUGUGCUCGUGAUCCCCAUCCAAUGCUGCGCAUCCAAGGCAACGUCGCACCGGUCCUUGGGAGCAUAGGUUGAGGUGAUAUGGUGACUUCCUUCGGUGAUGUCGGCGGGGAUGGCUGGUCUGUGUCCGGGAAGGCAUGGGAAUGACCCCUGGUUGCUGUCUGUUGAGCGUUGGGAGGCAGUGGCUGCAAAGUAGCAUAGGGUGUUCUCUAGCACUUGUUUGGCACUUGUUUGUAGAUUGAAGUUUCUUGUGUUUUUGCUCCAGCACAUGGUAUCGUCUCGACAUGUGUGUAAUUUUGCGUUUUUGUGGACUUUUUUCCUUUUGCAUAAAUUGUUAUUUUUCUGGUGA